GAUGAACGCUAGCGGCAGGCUUAAUACAUGCAAGUCGAACGGGAUUCGGUGUAGCAAUACAUUGAUGAGAGUGGCGCACGGGUGCGUAACGCGUAUGCAACCUACCUUUAACAGGUGAAUAGCCCCGAGAAAUCGGGAUUAAUACACCGUAACAUUGCGGGAUGGCAUCAUUCUGCAAUUAAAGAUUUAUCGGUUAAAGAUGGGCAUGCGUGACAUUAGCUAGUUGGUGAGGUAACGGCUCACCAAGGCGACGAUGUCUAGGGGUCCUGAGAGGGUUAUCCCCCANACUGGUACUGAGACACGGACCAGACUCCUACGGGAGGCAGCAGUAAGGAAUAUUGGUCAAUGGGCGCAAGCCUGAACCAGCCAUGCCGCGUGCAGGAAGACGGCCCUAUGGGUUGUAAACUGCUUUUGUCAGGGAAUAAACCUGUCUACGAGUAGGCAGCUGAAGGUACCUGAAGAAUAAGCAUCGGCUAACUCCGUGCCAG
rnacentral:rRNA from 1 species